UUAGUAUACGCAGCUUAAAAUUUGAAAUUUUUAAUUUUUUUGCCGCUAGUACUUAAAAUGUUAUCACCUAUUUUCUUUUUGCAUCAGAGGAAUGGUGACAUCGAACAGAUGAAUUUUGCGGUAUAUUGAUUUAAUUUCUCCACAAUCGUCUAUUAAAAUGUGAGAAUUGUAAAUGGUCUAGAAAAAAAAUUUGUAAUUUUGCUACU